AGUAGGACAACCAGAAGUGCCUGAGUAAGGAUUUCGGUGCUCAGUGAUACGGUUCACUAGACGACGUUGUCAACACGUAAUGGCGGCCAUUAUUUGACGUUGGAUUUGGCAUUCCACACUGAAAAGUUGCAUUUAUGACAUUCUUGGAUGCUUAAACUUUAUGCUAAACAACACAAAAGGUAAAGGUUUAUUCCAUAUAUCUCAGUAUUCAUUAUCAAAUAAGUCGGAUCAUAAGAAAUGAUUUAAACGGCAAAAAAAGUGUAAAACUAUAUCAAACAUGAAAAUUGAUAUCUAAUUUUUCAUCAUUUCCUUUUCAUAUACAAGUAUUGAAUCAACUAUUUACUGGUGAAUUACAUUCGGAUUUCGGUCUAAGGUAUCCGCCCUUGUCUCCGGAAAUAUUAUACCAACACAAGCUGUCAACAUCCGUUUUCAAACUGGUCAAGUGUUCUUCUCAAUCUCCCUGGAAAAUAUUCACGCUAUCACUUCUUGCUCAGAUAAUAGAAAAUUGUAAACCUCUUACUGCAAAUACGGACCAUAAUGAAUCAAAUUCGAAAGCACGUAUGAUCAGGCUUUAUGCCGAUUUGGAAGUUCUCUAAAAAGGAUUAUAAUUUCAAGGCCCAAAAAUAUAGGCAACUGAGGCUAAACAAAUUUUGAUGAAUGGCUCGGGUUCAACUCAAAAGUCCAUGUAUUAAAUCAUUGGAAUGUAAGACAUAUUCACUUUCACUGUUGGCUAUUUUAUACCUGGUAUAAUAUUGCAUUUGGAAAAAAAUAUUUGUGUCCCUGAUUUCAUAUAGUGCACCAAAAUGUAAUAGUUAUAAAAAUUAAAUCUGUCAUAAACAUGAAAUGCAAUGGGAAAUCGAUCACAGGCACAGACUCCUCUUUCUUCAUAUACAAAAAAAAAAAAAAAAAAAUUAGAUAGCCAUCCUCUAAAUUCAUAUCUCACAUACAUUUUAAAAGAAAUUUACACAUUGAAAUUAACCACUGGCAUUGAAUCAUCCACCCGUUUGAGAGCUUACACAUGCAUUAACAUGUAACUCCAUGACUAUUACAAAUUUAAUAUGCCUGUACAAUGUCUUUAUAUCCAUCAUGUUAUAUUAUUCCUAAAGGCUAUAGUCUUAUAUAUAUAAACAUUAUUUAGAAAAAUUAUGAUAAUCCAUCGACAAUCUUAAUUACUUUCAGAAAAUGUACUCCAACUUCAUUAAUAUCAUAAUAUCAUUAAAUUAAUGGUGUUAUGACAGUGGUAGUUCAUGGAUUUAAUUUAACACUAGGUUGUGAGUACCCCCAAAAUGUAUAAAAUUUCAGCUUGCAUUGUACAAUGGACAUGCUAGAUAUUUAUGUACACUAUUAUAAUAUGUUUCCUUUGCCUGUAACUUUUAUGUAUUGAGCAGAAAUGCUAGAGGCAUAAUCAUUUAUAAUACAUAAUAAAUAUAUAAAAUUGAGAAUGGAAAUGGGUAAUGUGUCAAAGAAAUAGCAACCCAACCAAAGAGCAAAAGUCGACGGCCACCAAUGGGUCUUGAUUGGAGCAAGAAAAUAUGUUAUUUCUUUGUAAUUUAUUUGGCAAAUUUGUAUUCAUGUGUUGAUAAUAACAAUGCAAAGUUUAAUUUUGCUUUGAAUGAUUUAGUAUAUUUAAUUGAUUUAGUAAUUGUAUGUGCAUUUGCUUUAUAUUUACAGGAUGGAGAAAAAUGUUUACUAUGAAUCAAAAAUUCAAAACAGAGGACUUUUAUAUAUCAACAAAAACACUUGCAGUACAUGCACAUGUAUG
rnacentral:lncRNA from 1 species